AGCGAACGCUGGCGGCAGGCCUAACACAUGCAAGUCGAACGAACCCUUCGGGGUUAGUGGCGGACGGGUGAGUAACACGUGGGAACGUGCCUUUAGGUUCGGAAUAACUCAGGGAAACUUGUGCUAAUACCGAAUGUGCCCUUCGGGGGAAAGAUUUAUCGCCUUUAGAGCGGCCCGCGUCUGAUUAGCUAGUUGGUGAGGUAAUGGCUCACCAAGGCUACGAUCAGUAGCUGGUCUGAGAGGAUGACCAGCCACAUUGGGACUGAGACACGGACCAGACUCCUGCGGGAGGCAGCAGUGGGGAGUCGUGCGCAAUGGGCGAAAGCCUGAAGCAGCCAUGCCGCGUGGAUGAUGAAGGUCUUAGGAUUGUAAAAUCCUUUCACCGGUGAAGAUAAUGACUGUAGCCGGAGAAGAAGCACCGGCUAACUACGUGCCAGCCGCCGCAGUAA
rnacentral:rRNA from 1 species